AGAGUUUGAUCCUGGCUCAGAUUGAACGCUGGCGGCAGGCUUAAUACAUGCAAGUCGAACGGGAUCCGAGGUAGCAAUACUUUGGUGAGAGUGGCGCACGGGUGCGUAACACGUAUGCAACCUACCUUUAACUGGCGAAUAGCCCCGGGAAAUCGGGAUUAAUACGCCAUAACAUUAUGCAAGGGCAUCCUUAUAUAAUUAAAGAAUUUCGGUUAAAGAUGGGCAUGCGGGACAUUAGCUAGUUGGUGAGGUAACGGCUCACCAAGGCAACGAUGUCUAGGGGUCCUGAGAGGGUUAUCCCCCACACUGGUACUGAGACACGGACCAGACUCCUACGGGAGGCAGCAGUAAGGAAUAUUGGUCAAUGGGCGCAAGCCUGAACCAGCCAUGCCGCGUGAAGGAAGACGGCCCUAUGGGUUGUAAACUUCUUUUGUCAGGGAAUAAAUGUAGGUACGCGUACUUACUUGAAGGUACCUGAAGAAUAAGCAUCGGCUAACUCCGUGCCAGCAGCCGCGGUAAUACGGAGGAUGCAAGCGUUAUCCGGAUUCAUUGGGUUUAAAGGGUGCGCAGGCGGAUUGGUAAGUCAGGGGUGAAAUCCCACAGCUCAACUGUGGAACUGCCUUUGAUACUGUCAGUCUAGAGUAUAGUUGAAGUUGGCGGAAUGUGUCAUGUAGCGGUGAAAUGCUUAGAUAUGACACAG
rnacentral:rRNA from 1 species